rnacentral:rRNA from 1 species
AGAGACCGGCGCACGGGUGCGUAACGCGUAUGCAAUCUACCUUUCACAGAGGGAUAGCCCAGAGAAAUUUGGAUUAAUACCUCAUAGUAUAUAGACCUGGCAUCAGGAUUAUAUUAAAGUCACAACGGUGAAAGAUGAGCAUGCGUCCCAUUAGCUAGUUGGUAAGGUAACGGCUUACCAAGGCAACGAUGGGUAGGGGUCCUGAGAGGGAGAUCCCCCACACUGGUACUGAGACACGGACCAGACUCCUACGGGAGGCAGCAGUGAGGAAUAUUGGACAAUGGGCGCAAGCCUGAUCCAGCCAUGCCGCGUGCAGGAAGACGGUCCUAUGGAUUGUAAACUGCUUUUAUACAGGAAGAAACACUCCGACGUGUCGGAGCUUGACGGUACUGUAGGAAUAAGGAUCGGCUAACUCCGUGCCAGCAGCCGCGGUAAUACGGAGAAUCCAAGCGUUAUCCGGAAUCAUUGGGUUUAAAGGGUCCGUAGGCGGUCAGAUAAGUCAGUGGUGAAAGCCCAUCGCUCAACGGUGGA